CCUUUUGCUGAUAUAACUAAUGUAAUUGAUGCCAAUUUGACGAACAACCAUCCCGCUGUUAAUAAAAAUGGAACUAAUGUGCCAAAAGAUCGUGAGAAUUGUCAACACAACAACUUGGACUCUACAGGCACUCUUGAAGAUGUUACAAAACUAAGUGCGGCUGAACUAAAAAGGAAGCGUGCUAGGGAGUGGUACGCAUCAUUGGCCAAAGAUAAAAAAGAAGAUAGAAACAAGAAGGCACGUGAUAUCAGGAAGCGGAGGAACUAUGAAUCUCAAAGCCGUGAAAGACAUUAUGAGGCAAUGGUGGUGUACACGGUUGUUGCUAUGAUGCAAAGAUGGAAAGAGUUGCUAAAGGAGGGCGAUCGAGGGCAAGUCGAUAAGUGGAAGGAAGUGAUCCUGGAGAAUUUGGCGCGACUUCGGCAGCUGUGUGAUCCUCCUGAAGACAUCUGA
rnacentral:lncRNA from 1 species